AUACCCCGAGGUCCUCGGAUCGAGACCGAGAGAAGCUAAGCUUCUUAGCGCAGUGGAAGCGCGCGGGGCUCAUACC
rnacentral:tRNA from 1 species